UUACGGCCACAUUGCGUUGAAACAUCGGUUCUUGUACGAUCACGGAAGUUAAGCAACGUCAAGUCUGGUCAUUACCUAGAUGAGUGACCGCUUCGGAAUGCUAGGUGUUGUAA